AACGAACGCUUGCCUCCUGCCUCCCCCCUGCACGUCGACCGCGACCUUCGGGUCUAGUGGCGCACGGGUGCGUAACGCGUGGGAACCUGCCCUUAGGUUCGGAAUAACUCCCCGAAAGGGGUGCUAAUACCGGAUAAUGUCUUCGGACCAAAUAUUUAUCGCCUUUGGAUGAGCCCGCGUUGGAUUAGCUAGUUGGUAGGGUAAAAGCCUACCAAGGCGACGAUCCAUAGCUGGUCUGAGAGGAUGAUCAGCAACACUGGGACUGGGACACGGCCCAGACUCCAACGGGGGGAAGAAGUGGGAAAUAUUGGACAAUGGCGAAAGCCUGAUCCAGCAAUGCCGCGUGAGUGAUGAAGGCCUUAGGGUUGUAAAGCUCUUUUACCCGGGAUGAUAAUGACAGUACCGGGAGAAUAAGCUCCGGCUAACUCCGU
rnacentral:rRNA from 1 species